rnacentral:rRNA from 1 species
CACCUCACCGUUUCUUGCCAAAACCGCCUAUAUACCGCCGUCUCCAACUUACCCUAUGAGGGAUUCACAGUAAGUUCAAAGAUCUUCCAUCAGAACGUCAGGUCAAGGUGUAGCGAAUGAAACGGGAAGAAAUGGGCUACAUUUUCUAUUUUAGACCACACGGACAAUCAGUAUGAAACCUGAUUAUGAAGGAGGAUUUAGCAGUAAAAAGAAAUCAGCAAGUUCUUUUUAAGUCGGACCUAGGGCGCGUACACACCGCCCGUCACCCUCUUCAACUCAUUUCACCCUAUUUCAUAAUAAAAUAACUGGAGAUAAGAAGAGGCAAGUCGUAACAUGGUAAGUAUACCGGAAGGUGUACUUGGAAC